AGUGCAAGUGUCCUUGUGCCCUGGUGCCUGAUAUCCAGCUCCGGCAGCCUAGAAAAUCAGUUAGGCUUUUCAGUCACAGCACCCUCUGUGACAAACGUGUGGAGCACCGCACGACUUCUUCAACCAGCUGGUUUUUCUGGCAUUCGAAUAAAAGUAAAAAUAGAAAACAAAGAGGGAGAAGAAAAGUGACAAGCUGAAACCUGCGAAGAGAAAGAGGACAAGAAAUGAACAAGUUGAUCUGGUCUUGAGGGAGGAGGAGGCACAGGAACACAGUAAAGGAACCUAUCUGAGGAGCUGCAGACAUGAACCAACAAAGCCAGAAGAGCCUGAAGCAAUACUGCAAGUGGGUGCUUUGGUACUGCUUUGAAGCAUCUUUCCAGACUCUGCAGUAGCCAAGGCCUGUGACUCCAGUCCCUGAGAAAGUACCAUCAGGAGCAAUACGAGUCCUGUCCAUCUCUGAAAACAUGCUGCUGAUGUUGGAUUAAUAGUUAGACAAACAACUAAGAAGAUCAGAAGUAACAUGCUACUUUGGGUGUUGCAAAAUGACUGGACGCUACCUGUCAUCAAACCAUAGUUUACUCUCCACUUCAACAUAAAUCAAUAGCCUGCUUUUACCUCAAUGAUCAGUUGCUGCAGGGGAAAAAAGUAAGCUUCAAUUUAGACGCUGUCAAAUAUAUGGCCAACUUGCCACCUCUCUCUUCUCCUUGUUCCUGGAACAUGUUGCUAAUUGCUAUGGUGUUCCUGCCACACUCUGAUGUGAUUAUGGAAUCAGCCUCAGCACAAUGCUAUAGGCAGCCACUAAUAAGGGAUUGGAGUGGGGAGGCUGAUUGAAAUUGUUCCCCAAGACAGUAAGCAUAAUAUGUUCUCAUCUGCUUUGAUAGACUCUAAAUUGUAUACACAGUGUGGAUUUUGUGAUACUCAAUAAAAAGCUUCUAGGAAAGA
rnacentral:lncRNA from 1 species